UACGGGGGGGGCAAGCGUUGUUCGGAAUUACUGGGCGUAAAGGGCGCGUAGGCGGCCUCUGCAAGUCGACUGUGAAAUCUCCGGGCUUAACCCGGAAAGGUCAGCCGAUACUGCAGGGCUAGAGUGCAGAAGGGGCAACUGGAAUUCUCGGUGUAGCGGUGAAAUGCGUAGAUAUCGAGAGGAACACCUGCGGCGAAGGCGGGUUGCUGGGCUGACACUGACGCUGAGGCGCGAAAGCUAGGGGAGCGAACGGG
rnacentral:rRNA from 1 species